UUGACGUUAAUCUAGUUUUAAGCCACAUACACGGGACUCAUGGACCUUAAAUUAUCGGAGAAAAAAGUCAGGCCAAUGUUAGGCAGCUCAGCUCCGGGCCGCUGGAGACGUCGGCUGCCGGUAAAAAUCUGCUGAACGUCUGGUUCAUAAACUAUUAAAGAAGCAAAGUCUGUCUUGUGUGUCCCAUUUCAUCCUGCUGUAUAAUGGAAGUGGGUGACAGCCACAUCUGAAGUCAAGAGAUGAAAGACAUCAUUUACAAGGGAAAACGUCUGCAGUACUGUAAAUGGACAUCUCUACCAUUUGUUGAAGGCUCAUCAUUAAAAACUGAACAUGGUCAAGAGGACAUGAUGUGCCAUGAAGAGCGUUCGCUGUGACUGCACCUGAAAACCUGUCGGAGGACUGACUGUCCUGAACGCACAGGGUCCUUCAGGAGUUGGCGCCGGAGACCUGCAGCACCGGCGGCCUGAACACGGACGUCCGCGUUUCACCUCACACAAGGAUUCGUUUCAGAUAACACAGUUAUACCUGUUCAAACAUCACACAUGAAUCUUUGCUCAUGUAACAUCUUUCUAUUCACUUAAAUCUUUUCAGACAAAAAAAAAAAAAAGAAGAAUACUCUGCUCAGUCAUCGCAUCACCAGGUACACAAAAGAAUAAUUUCCCCGAGCUGCAGUAAUUUGCAGUGUAGAAUACCAAUAAAAACUAAUAAGAAAUGCACUGCAGUAGUGGAAGAGGUGUUGAAAUCAUUUACUCAAGGAACAGUAGCUAUAGCAGAAUAUAGAAAUAUUCAGAUAAAAGUUGUGCAUUCAAAAUCCUACUUAAGUAAAAAAAAUACUCUCAGUACAUCAAGACUGCACUUACAGUACUUUAAAAGAUAGAGUAGAAAUAAGAAUAGAAUAGAAAUCACUUAAUUGUACUGAUUUCUUAUCUGUAGGUUAAUAUUUGAACAGCACUGUAAUAAUAAAGUAUUCGCCUGUAUGUAUAUCUCCAGCUGAAUACAUAACGUAAUGGCCUAUUUUAUCAAGCUGCAACCUCUACGCUCAUGAAAGUGAAGUGUAUGGAAGUCCAGCCUUUUCUCUUUUCUCAGUCUAAUUAGUAAGAUUAAAUGUAAUCUGUUACCACACUGCUCAAGCCUCGUCUCACGAGGCCUUACAGGGGAUUUGCGAGGAUCUGCAGGUCCGUUUCUUCGGUGUGUCGUCCCCACCACCACCACCUCCUCUUCCUCCUCCUUUCCUCCUCCUUCUCCUCCUCCUCCUUCUCCACCUCCCCACCCUCAGUGCACCACAGUUGCAUUAUUAAACUUGUAUAAGAUCAUUAGCAUACAAAGCAGGAAACCUACCGCCGUGGAGUCAUCCAUAUUUAUCUGGACGUGCCUGACUCGUGCAUGCAUGCACUCGUACUGUAACCUCUUUUACACACAGGCGUGACUGGCUUCCUACCGCAGGAGAGCUGCUGAACAGAGACUAUGGAGUGGAUAUUAGCCGGAGCACGUCUAGUUUUAAGUUAUAGAUAUUUAUUUGUGUAACUUCUGAAGAAACACGCGCUUGUGUUUGCCUUGAACUUACGCAUUGAAAUACGUGCGGCAGCCUGAAAAGCUGAGAAAAUGUGUGUACAUGGAAACAGAGCAGAUGGAGUUCAGUUAGGUUCAUCAGAGCAGUUUGCUUCAAGCAUAUCAAAUAUAGUUUACACACAGAGGAAUUUCCGAGUCUAGUAAUGGCUGCAAUACAUAUUCAUCUGCUGCACAGAAGCUCAUAAUCAAACAGAGAGUUAGUCAAACAGAGAGCGUGGUUUUGUAAAUACUUGUAUCACCUGUGGGUUACCUCUGCCUUCUGAAUGACUGAAAUCAGCUCCUUCUCUCUCCUCUUCCCUUGUUCCCUUCCUCUCCGAAAUCCACUUUUUCUCCUCAACCGUGCUAUCCCCGUUUCCCUGCCCUCACGGGGCUCACUCUCCGCACUUUCCCCCCUCAACAUUCUGGCUGAGAGCACAACACCCCUCCUCUUUUCUUUUUCUUUUUGGCAACAUGGAGUCCUCUGUUAAUAUUCCUUCCUCCUUCCUCCUUCUUUCUCCUCCCUCCUGUGAGAUUGCUGUUGUGUCUUAUGGCUUUUUAUUCCUACGUGAUGGUAGAUGGGUUCAUGUAGGAGUAGAAGCCACUAAACACGCGGUGAGUGCUCAACGUGCUGGCCAACACACGCAGUGAGCUUCCUGUGGAUAUGACAGCUGCCACGUUCACAUCAGUGUCCUGCCCAUUAUCAGGAAUAUGCACACGGUAAAAAUAAAAUCGUACAGAGUAAUCACUGCAGAGUGGUUGCUGUUCCAGGUUAUUAUAGAACAGAUAAGGACAAUUGAGCAUAUUGCACAGGAAAUCUGAACAAACCAAUCUGACCAAAUCUUAAGUUGUGAACAGACCUACUUUUCCCACCUGCACGCUGGCCUGCAUGUGCCCUGAAUUUCUACCUCCUUCCUGCAGUCCUCUGUCCCAGGGUCCUUGUACAAAACUGGAGCUGGAAAUUUCUCAAAAUAGGGAUCAGGAGGGAAGGAUGCCACAAAUGAAGAGAAACAACUUGCAGAGGUAGGUCAUCAGCGGUGUUUAAUAAUGUACAGAAUCUAUAUUCCGAUGAAGCUAAGGUGAGAACACACUGUACAAGGAAACCUGGUUAAAAAAAAACAAAAAACUACUGUAUCACACUUGUCUGUUUGAUUGAUCCGACUUCCAACACCUCCAGCACUGUGGAUAUAAACCCUCUGAUACUGAAAACACAAUUCACAUUUUUGGACAGAUAGUAAUAUGACAUACAUCAUGUCGAAAAAUGUAAGUUUCCUAUGUUGUCACUGUUGCUGUGAAAACCUCCAAAACCUCAACUUUUCAUAGGCUCAGAGAAGCUACUCUGUUUUCAGCUUUUGAACAAAGUAUUUUUAGAAAAAGCAGGGGAAUGUUCUCAACCCAUAGAAGAACACUCAAUCCUCCUUUAAACAACACUAAUAGCCCUUUUCCUCUGCAUGGUGUCGGCUCAACUUUACUCAACUCGGCUCAACUUGGCUCACCUCGCCUUUUUUGAUUUUCCAAUUGGGCAAAAGUUGUGGAUAGAUGCCUGAUACCUGGUACUUUUUUUUUUGGUAUCAUCUCCGCCGAGGUUCCAAGCGAGCUGAGGCGACACCAAAAGGUGACGUGAAAACACUGCAGACUACUGAUUGGUCAGAGAGAAUCGUCACUACUGCGUCAAGGGUGUGUCAGAUGGGACAAUCUGAACAAACCCAUCUGUAGCCUGUUGUGUGUUGAAGAUGACAUCAUGACAGCUUCAUGCGUUGUCGCUAUAGUAACUGGCACUAAAAGCGAGUAGAGUCAGAUAGAGGAGUGCAUGCUAACAUGCUGUUGUUUAGCAGGUUUAACGUUUACCAUGUUUAUCAUAGUGUAGUGUGUUACAUUGCUAACAUUUGCUAAGUAGCACUAAAGUACAAGUGAGGUUGAUGGGAAUGUUAGUUUUAUAAGUAUUUGGUCAUAAACUAUUGAACACAAGUCCUUAUGAUACAUUAUCUCAUUUGAAUGUGUUGCUUGCGUCUUAAUGAUAUGUGCAGUAUUUCCAUUAAGGAAGAAUGGGACACGACCGAAAGUGAUGCUCAAAUGUUGCAUCUAUUGUUAUGACAACAUGCAAGUAUGAUAGCUCAUUUUGUUCAUAAGGACCAGGCCAUUUGAUGUAUUGAUAUUGAUUGACAAUGAGAUAAUGUGACAGGGUUAAUAGUUUGGAGAGUAUGUGGUGGGAAUGUGAAGGGAGAAUACGUCGCCUCAGAGACAUGAAUGUCUGUGCCAGAUUUCAUGACAGUCCAUCCAAUAGCUGUUGAAGUAUUUCAGCCUGGAGCAAAGUGCUGCACCUGCUAACAUGGCAAAAAAUUAAAAAAUCACUCAGUUGGAGAUACAUGGUUUUCACAGGGCAGUGAUGAGUAGUGCUUUUUUGUCAUUCAGCAUUUUACAUGUGAAAAAUUCACAUACACACUUGGUUUUUUGGGCAUUUAUUUUUAUAUAUGCUCUUUGUAAGGCUUCUCUUCCUGUUGAGUUGCUUUGCCCUUUUAAAUCUUUAAGCAGCAGCCAGGAAAACUGUAACUCUCAGCUCUGUGCAAACCCCCUUAAACUCCUGUCCACUCGAAAUGAGAUCCAACAUUUUGGCCAGCUCAAAAAUGGCUAACAAUGGUAUUUAUCAGCAGUAACUCUCUGCCUGAGCUGAACUGAGUGUCAACCAAUUAAGAAAGAAAUUCAAAUUAUCCUGUUCCUGUUGGGUCCGGUUGGGUGCUGUGGGGUUUGGGUUUAAAUGUCAACCUUCUGUUUGUAUUUGCUCGUAAAUGAGCCGCUCACUCUCUCCGCCUGAACACAAUCUGAAUAAAGCCUAAAUGGGUUGUUGUCGGAAACCGAAACCUGAUUUAGUAAUCCCAGGCUAUUACAGGAAUUUGACACAUGCUUGUAACUGUGUGACAUUACUUUCCUUCGCCGAUAUUAGGUGGGUAAUUAUUCAAGAUGAAAUUGCAAUAGAUAUGGUCUGCUGAGGUUUAAUGAUUUAUUCAAGACUUUAAGUUGUUAUGAUCUAAUAUUCAGUGGACGGGAUGGAAAGUUUCUUUUGCUUGCAUAUCAGUUUAAUUUAUUUUUCAGGUUCCCUCUCCUACAUUUUUUUUUCCGUCUUUAUAGAGACAUGGGGAGGUCUGAAAGAAUAAUAGAGCAGGGCAGACACAUUAGCGGAGGCUGAGAGAGGAUUCGAUCCUGGACCAGCGGGGGGUCUAUGGGAAUCUAAAGGUGGGAAUCAACCAUCAUGGCAUCUAUGGGAAAGAGCCUGAAUUAUUUAAAACAGCACAGGAAUAUAUGAGGGGGAAGUUUUUGUCUUUGAAUAGAUUGCUGCCACGCUCCGGUUUAAGCCUGAGGGUGUGUGCGCCUUUCCCGAUGAUGAUCCGAUUGUGCUGUAAACCUCACAUUUCAUGAAUGUCAAAAUGUUCAGUGAAAUAAGACGACACAGCCUCAUUUCACUUUGGCAGCUGUACUUUUUUCUUUUUAUAUAUUUGUUCUUUUUUUUAAAUUAUGCCACAGCUUUCAUGAGUUCUCUGGUUACGAUUGAGUUAGGUCACAUAAUCCUGAAGUUCAGGUAGAAACAUGAAAAUCAUCAGAACUGGAGUAAUGGGAUUUUCAUCUGACAGCUGCAACAAGGUGCUGUUUGUGUACAGUAGGUUUAAUGUAUGAGUGUUGUGCUACUGUAUUCAGCCCCCUCAGGCCACACUUUGAUUUUCUUGUAAUAAAUAAUGCUCUUUUGUGUUCUGUGCUUCAUUUGUUCCCUGUUGUAACGUCAGUGCUGCUCAAUAAAUUAUGAAUCACUGCCUGUUCAA